GAGGGCGACCCCCACUCUCAAAACCCUAACAACUUACUAAUCUCACAAACUGAAGGCUCAAACCAAGUUAAAAUCAAAAAUCGAGCAUGGAUUAUUGAUCCCCAUUGCAAGGGGGUUGUAAGGCGAGGAAUCCGGAUCGUCAAGUGGACAAGCCGGUGGAAAUACGCGUUUGAAAAGGGUGCUUAAAAAGGAAUAAAUAUCAAAUGGAUACGCACAUUGCUAUUGCUUAGCGGCUACUAAGUCAAGGUAUUGAAACGGGUCAAUAUAUUGAUCCGAGCCAGG